GCCAGCAGCCAUAUCACCCUGCGACUCACAACUGGCAGCCCACUGAUGCUAAGCAGGUGUGAGCCUGGUGUGUACCUGGAUGGGAGACCUCCUGGGAAAAACUAAGGUUGCUGCUGGAA
rnacentral:rRNA from 1 species